AUUUAUAUAGUUUAAUUAAAAACAUUUCAUUUUCAAUGAAAAAAUGAGUUAUACUCUAUAAAUA
rnacentral:tRNA from 1 species